UGGAUCAGAUUGCACGUUUGUGUUUAUGGUGAACUUCGUAAAUCUUCCCCGUGUGCGCCCGGGAUGUGGACUUAGUCCACAAGUAGAAUAGGCACACACCAGGCUAAAGGUUGUCGUAGGAGGCGACUAAUUUAGCAACGGCCGGCUAACUCAGAUACCAGUCUCAGCGACAAUAGAUAAUAUCUCUAAAAACAUUGACUAGCACAGAGCAUCACAAAAUUCACAUUGGAUGACAUUACAUCCCUAAAAUAGUGCGACGUAUUAGUCCUAUAAUACAGAAAUCUGAUUGUGUAAACAUUGACAUUUUGUGUUCUUCAUGCCCACAUUGGACUGUAUUCAGAAACGAAAACUGGCAACGAUAAAAAAAACCUGACGUAUUAUCCUGCAUAAGGACUUUCCAUUUAAGCGUAAAACUUCAAAGGAGUGACACUACUAUACAUUAAAAAUGAGCUAAAAUAGAGAUUUUAAAAAAGUAUGAAAUGGUAAUUCGAAGAAAAGGAAAUUGUGCACUCGUUCAUGAAAUUUAAGAAUUCGGAGAAAUGUACUCAAAAAAUACAAUAGUUCGUCUUUCAUCCUGAUUUUUUUUUCUUACUUUGACCAAAUCUUCUAAAUAAGGGCCAACUCUGCAGUUGACGUUGAUAGGAAAUCCACAAAUAGACUUCUCCAUAAUCGUCAACCAAAGGAAGCAACACAGAAUGUUGAUGUCAAGAAUGGACUCGAAAAGGGUCUAACUACCGCCAGACUUGAAGAAAACACCUGACAGAAAGUUGGAUGGGAAACGAAAAUUCAACAUUAACAUUGAUGUUCAAAGCACUGUUGCGAGGAGGCUGUAUCCUAGGAGCAAAAAUUAACAAAAGAUUAAUAGGAGAUGUGAAUUUCAAGAUUUAAAACUAGUUAGCCAGCUAAGACAUUCCGUCCAGACUAAAUUCAUCAAAAACUCUGUAAAAUAAAGUGAACAAGAUAUAGUAUUGAUAAAUGUUUUUACGCACAGUUAAUAUAAAAUUCCCACAAAAUGCCUAGUAAAUUAUCGUCACUUGUAAAUAGGAAUGUUUGUACAAAGUGUAUUGUUCAGUGAUGUGAAAUUGAUGUAGUCAUUUUUGAGUAUUAUAUUUGUAACAUAAAACUUAGUGUUGUUUUUGUAUUAAAUUAAUAAAUAUUUAUAUUGGUGUACAAAGUGUA